UCGUGCUAGGCGGGGAGGUAGCGGUGCCCUGUACUCGCAAUCCGCUGCAGCGGGGCUGAAUCCCUUCUCGAGGUUUAGUCAACGUGAGGCCUGCCCUAAGUAAGUGGUGUUGACAUUCGGGUCCUACGCAACGGACACUCAUGAACCCUGUCAGGUCCGGAAGGAAGCAGCAGUAAGUGAGCCCAUCCGUGUGCCGUAGGGUUGCCUGGAUCGAGCUAACUGCUUAGGUAACGCUUGGGUUGGCUUUAUCGACAGAAGGUGCACGG
rnacentral:SRP_RNA from 1 species